rnacentral:rRNA from 1 species
CAAUAGCGUAUAUUAAAGUUGUUGCAGUUAAAAGCUCGUAGUUGGAUUUCUAGAUAAGUGGGUACUUGUACUUUGCUUGUCUACCAGUCUUAGACUGUUACUGUGAGAAAAUUAGAGUGUUUCAAGCAGGCUGUUGCAGGAAUACAUUAGCAUGGAAUAACGAAUGUGUCUGGAAUAUUGGUUAAUUCUAGAUUACGAUUAAUAGGGACAGUUGGGGCGAUUAGUAUUUAAUUGUCAGAGGUGAAAUUACUUGGAUUUAUUAAAGAACUAACUUAUGCGAAAGACAUUUGUCCAACGGAAUGUUUUUCUAUUAAAUUCAAGAACGAAAAGUUAAGGGGAGUCAAAGAAUGAUCAGAUACCAU